GGCGUCACACCCGGAAGCAGCCCUGCAGCAGAGCGGGCAGCAAUGAGUGGGGAGCCAGGGCAGGUGUCCGUGGUGCCCCCUCCCGGGGAGGUGGAAGCAGGCAGUGGAGUCCACAUCGUGGUGGAGUACUGUAAACCCUGCGGCUUUGAGGCGACCUACCUGGAGCUGGCAAGCUCUUUGGAGGAGGAGUAUCCGGGCAUCGAGAUUGAGUCGCGACUCGGGGGGACAGGGGCCUUCGAGAUUGAGAUCAAUGGGCAGCUGGUGUUCUCCAAGCUGGAGAAUGGGGGUUUUCCUUAUGAGAAAGAUCUCAUGGAAGCUAUCCGAAGAGCCAGCAAUGGAGAACCCUUAGAAAAGAUCACCAACAGCCGGCCUCCCUGUGUCAUCCUGUGACUAAAAACGACUCUUGGAAGCUUGGUUCUGGGGUUUAAACCUUUGUUUCCUUGUGGUUACGCUGGGAACUCCCUCUACCUUUAGCCCCUCACUUAGCCCUAGGUAGCUAAGACCCAGACCUCACUUUGUCUCUUUGGACACAAAGAGGGAUUAGACAUUUCUAUGGUCUAAGGAAGAAAAGAGAUGUUCUCCGUGGACAUUACCACCUCCUCACAUCCCUUUCCCGGGAUCUGUUCCCUCUGCGGUUUGGUCCUCUCCCCAGCGUGGCAAUACUUUUCAGAUGCCACAGUUGCUUUAACUUAUGUCCCUGAGUCCUGGUUAGUGUCAACUCUUGGCAAUAAAGAGUAACUACAAACACGGG
rnacentral:lncRNA from 1 species